rnacentral:rRNA from 1 species
CCUACGGGAGGCUGCAGUGGGGAAUAUUGGACAAUGGGGGAAACCCUGAUCCAGCGACGCCGCGUGAGUGAAGGUGUAUUUCGGUACGUAAAGCUCUAUCAGCAGGAAAGAAAAUGACGGUACCUUACUACGAAGCCCCGGCAAACUCCGUACCAGCAGCCGCGGUACUACGUAGGGGGCAAGCGUUAUCCGGAUUUACAGGGUGUAAAGGGAGCGUAGACGGCAGAGCAAGUCUGGAGCGAAAUGCUGGGGCGCAACCCCGGAAGUGCUCUGGAAACUGUGAAGCUGGAGUGCAGGAGAGGUAAGCGGAAUGCGUGGUGUAGCGGUGAAAUGCGUAGAUAUCAGGAGGAACACCGGCGGCGAAGGCGGCUUACUGGACUGUAACUGACGUUGAGGCUCGAAGGCGUGGGGAGCAAACAGGAUUAGAUACCCUAGUAGUC